GAUGAACGCUGGCGGCGUGCCUAAUACAUGCAAGUCGAGCGAACGGACGAAGAAGCUUGCUUCUCUGAUGUUAGCGGCGGACGGGUGAGUAACACGUGGAUAACCUACCUAUAAGACUGGGAUAACUUCGGGAAACCGGAGCUAAUACCGGAUGAUAUUUUGAACCGCAUGGUUCAAAAGUGAAAGACGGUCUUGCUGUCACUUAUAGAUGGAUCCGCGCUGCAUUAGCUAGUUGGUAAGGUAACGGCUUACCAAGGCAACGAUGCAUAGCCGACCUGAGAGGGUGAUCGGCCACACUGGAACUGAGACACGGUCCAGACUCCUACGGGAGGCAGCAGUAGGGAAUCUUCCGCAAUGGGCGAAAGCCUGACGGAGCAACGCCGCGUGAGUGAUGAAGGUCUUCGGAUCGUAAAACUCUGUUAUUAGGGAAGAACAUAUGUGUAAGUAACUGUGCACAUCUUGACGGUACCUAAUCAGAAAGCCACGGCUAACUACGUGCCAGCAGCCGCGGUAAUACGUAGGUGGCAAGCGUUAUCCGGAAUUAUUGGGCGUAAAGCGCGCGUAGGCGGUUUUUUAAGUCUGAUGUGAAAGCCCACGGCUCAACCGUGGAGGGUCAUUGGAAACUGGAAAACUUGAGUGCAGAAGAGGAAAGUGGAAUUCCAUGUGUAGCGGUGAAAUGCGCAGAGAUAUGGAGGAACACCAGUGGCGAAGGCGACUUUCUGGUCUGUAACUGACGCUGAUGUGCGAAAGCGUGGGGAUCAAACAGGAUUAGAUACCCUGGUAGUCCACGCCGUAAACGAUGAGUGCUAAGUGUUAGGGGGUUUCCGCCCCUUAGUGCUGCAGCUAACGCAUUAAGCACUCCGCCUGGGGAGUACGACCGCAAGGUUGAAACUCAAAGGAAUUGACGGGGACCCGCACAAGCGGUGGAGCAUGUGGUUUAAUUCGAAGCAACGCGAAGAACCUUACCAAAUCUUGACAUCCUUUGACAACUCUAGAGAUAGAGCCUUCCCCUUCGGGGGACAAAGUGACAGGUGGUGCAUGGUUGUCGUCAGCUCGUGUCGUGAGAUGUUGGGUUAAGUCCCGCAACGAGCGCAACCCUUAAGCUUAGUUGCCAUCAUUAAGUUGGGCACUCUAAGUUGACUGCCGGUGACAAACCGGAGGAAGGUGGGGAUGACGUCAAAUCAUCAUGCCCCUUAUGAUUUGGGCUACACACGUGCUACAAUGGACAAUACAAAGGGCAGCGAAACCGCGAGGUCAAGCAAAUCCCAUAAAGUUGUUCUCAGUCCGGAUUGUAGUCUGCAACUCGACUACAUGAAGCUGGAAUCGCUAGUAAUCGUAGAUCAGCAUGCUACGGUGAAUACGUUCCCGGGUCU
rnacentral:rRNA from 1 species